AGCGAACGCUGGCGGCAGGCUUAACACAUGCAAGUCGAGCGGGCACUUUCGGGUGUCAGCGGCGGACGGGUGAGUAACCCGGGGGAACGUGCCCUCUGGUUCGGAAUAACACAGGGAAACUUGAGCUAAUACCGGAUACGCCCUUUUGGGGAAAGGUUUGCUGCCGGGGGAUCGGCCCGCGGCUGAUUAGCUAGGUGGUGGGGUAACGGCCCACCAAGGCGACGAUCAGUGGCUGGUCUGAGAGGAUGAUCAGCCACACCGGGACUGAGACACGGCCCAGUCUGCGACGGGAGGCAGCAGUGGGGAAUAUUGGACAAUGGGCGCAAGCCUGAUCCAGCCAUGCCGCGUGAGUGAUGAAGGCCUUAGGGUUGUAAAGCUCUUUUAGCCGGGACGAGAAUGACGGUACCGGAGAAAUAAGCCCCGGCUAACUUCGUG
rnacentral:rRNA from 1 species